ensembl:lncRNA
GCUAAGAAGAGCAGGCAGAAAGAACCCGAGGAGAUGGCAGCAUCAACAUCUCAGGCUGAGGCCAGCCAGCCGCAGGAGUCCUCUGCUGACAGAGCUGGAUUUCUGCCACCGAUAAACGAAGAAACACAGUCUCCUCAGCGUCAGCCCCCGGACACCAAAGCCCCACCGCGCAGGAAGGGCACACCCUACCCACGCUGAUGCGGGCAUGGGGCGCCCAUGAGCUCCAAGAGCUCCACUCGAGCUGGCUGCAAAACAGAUGCUUGAAUCCCAUCUGCAUCAUAUCUAAUCCUAGACUAGGCUGCCGAGUGCCCAAUCCAACCUGGCCUUCAACACUGCCACGGACGCGGCGUCCACAAGCUCUCUGGGCAUCCGCUUCCAGCAUCUCACCCCCGUCUCUGGAAAGACCUUCUCCCUGACAUCCAAUCUUCAUUGUCCCUCCCUCUGUCAAUAAAGCCUUACCAUGGGCCUAUCCCAUACAAAUCUCCACAAUGCCUGUGGCAGUGUCAUUGCGUCUUUGGACGCCAGCUCUGGUGCUGGCGGAGGGAGAAAGAAUUGUGAGAGGGCAUCAGAACAUCUCACGAUGCUUUCCUUGAUGCCAAAGGAAAUCCAGCAUCUCGCUUGGCUUGGCUGUCUGAGCUUUUCUGCUGAAGGGGAAGACCAAAAAUGAAGUCAGCUUCAAAUUGGUGCGGCAGCUCAGAGCUCUCAGAGGAUACCAGGGAUCCUUGGGAGGCCCUUUCCAAGUGGAAGAUUGCGUCCUAUAAAGAAUCACAGAAUCACUGAAUCAUACAAUGGCGUGCGUUGAAAAGGACCACAGUGACCAUCAAGUUUCACCUCCCACCCCCCUCCCUGCUAUGUGCAGUAUUGCCAGCCACUAGACCAAAAUGCCCCGUGCCACAUCCAGCCUGGCCUUGAAUGCCUCCAGGGAUGCGGCAUCCACAACCUCCUUGGGCAACCUGUUCCAGUGCCUCACCAGCCUCUCGGGGAAAAACUUCAUUCUCAGAUCCAACUUAAACCUCCCCUGUCUCCCUUGAAGACCACUCCUGCAUCUCCUAUUACAACCCACCCUCGGAAACAGCCAUUCUCCCUCCUGCUUAGAUGCUCCCUUUAAGGAGCCUUCUCUUCUCCAAGCUAAACGAUCCCAGUUCCCUUCACCUUUCCUCAUACGAGAGGUGCUCCAGCCCUCUGACCAUCUUAGUGGCCCUCCUCUGGACCCACUCCAAAAACUUCCCGUCUUGCGGAGAAGAGAGAAUAAAGGUAAGGCAGACGCUGAGAAGGACAAGAGCAAAAGCUCUUGAAGAACAGGCACAGGUAAGAAAGAAGAGCAGAAGAGGAGGAGGAGAAAAAGAGAGGAUGAAGGUAAGAAAAACAAGCGGGCAGGGAGAAGAGCUGAAGAAGGGAUGAGUGGGUGCAGGUAAGACCGAACAGCAGAAGUGGAGAGGAGCUGAAGAGGAGAAGUAUGAAAAGUAGAGCAAAAGUACAGGAGGUGGAAAGAGAGGAAAGAGGCAAGAGAGAAGAGAGGAAGAGCAGAGAAAGAACAGAGCAGUAGAGAAGAGCGGACAGUGCUGUGAAAAGAAGAACAGUGCCACAGAGCAGGUGAAGAAGAACAAAGAGCAGAAGAGGAGUGUAGAUGAAGAAGAGGUGUGAGGGCACAAGGAAGAAAGAUCAGAAGAGAAGAGGAGUGCAGUAAGAAGAAGGAGGAGAGAAGAUACGGGAAAAAGAACAGCAGAAGGGUGCAGAUGCAGAACAUGAGAGAUGACACAGGGAACAACAAGGAGCAGAAGAGGAGAGCAGUCAGAAGAAAGACUGUGAGAAUACGGGGGACAAAGCAAAGCAGAGAGGAGUGCAGAGGCAGAAGAAAGAGGAGAGAGGAUACAGAGAAGAAAGAGUAGUAGAAGAGGAGUGCAGAUGCAGAACAAAGAGCAUUGAGGAGACAGAAUAAGAAGAGCAACAGAGGAGUUUAGACGCAGAACGAUGAGGAGUGAAUAAGGAGGGGAAAAAGGGAGAGAAGAGUAUGGGAAAAAAAGUCUAGUAGAGGAGAGGAAGACAGCAGACAGGAGAGUUAGAAAAGAUAGAAGAGAGAAGGGAGGGAAGGGGCAUCAAGGAAAGGUUUCCAAAGGUUAAAAAAAAAAAAAAAAAGAGAGAGAUGAAGAAGAUGGGAGUUCAAUAGAAGAACUGAAUUUGUAAGAAGUGGGGAGGCGUGUGCAGAGAGCAGGAGCGCAGAGAGAGAAGGUGAGAGCAAAUUCCGUCACUGAGAGAAGAAGAAAAAGGAACGUCAAUAAUUUUCGUCUCUAUUAAAGCUGGGUUCUGUGCAGGACAUACAGGUGUUGUUGUUCUUUUUCUUUCGUUCUUUCUUUCUCUGCAUUGCUUGUGUUCCUUUAGGCAAUUCAAGAACUAGGAACGUCCAGGAAUAUUUGCACAACUUUGUCAUGUCUCCUUAAUCUCAGCUGCUUUAAAAUACCCAACCGAUGUCAAGUGGGGGUCACCUCCUCCAGGGCACCCUGCAAUCCAGCUGUGCGCGUCUCACUUGGAAAAACUCACCUUCAGGAAGGAGCAGAGAGAUUUUCCACGCUCGGCCAAGAAUCCUCUUCUGCCACCCAGCACAUCCAUUGCUGAGCAGGACACCAUCACUCCCAUCAGCGUGUUGCCCUCUGUUCCCACGCCCUCAAGAGCAAAACAGCCACGCACAGCUGACCACAAAGCCUUUGGAGCAACCACCGGCAGACACAGAGCUUGCACACAUCCACCGCCAGGGACGUGCUGGGAGAUGAUGUCUCUGGGCCCAGGGCACGGCAGCAUUGGCUUCAGUGCUUUCAUGCCUCCUGACAGCAAACCUCUGCUGCCAAAGCAUCCUUUGCCCAAGGAAACCGUGCCAUCAAGCACAACGCUUUCUCCCCCGAGUCUCUCCAGCCGGCAGUGAAAAAGACAGACACAGCUUUCAGGAAGCCAAGAAACACAAACGCACUCCAUCUAGCAAAUAACCCCAGCACUGCUUACCCCUUCCUGAGGAACAGGGCACACAAAAGCCCACCCAGGAGCAGACCUCAAGCAGAGCUCCUUCCCUGCGGGCAGCCAGCCCUUCCGUGAGCUCAGGGCCGGGUGGAACCAGGCUGCACCCCUCGCUCAUGCAAGAGAAUCGCCUCCAGCUGCUCCCC